rnacentral:sRNA from 1 species
AUUCUACCCAUGUGGGGAAGGAUGAGAAGCUUCGACCAAGGUUCGAUUCGAGCGCAGCGAGAAAGCGUUGCCGCAGGCAACGACCCGAAGGGCGAAGCGCGCAGCGCUGAGUAAUCCUUCCCCCACCACCA